rnacentral:rRNA from 1 species
UGCAGUUAAAAAGCUCGUAGUUGGAUUUCGGAGUGGGCCAGUUGGUCCGCCGCAAGGUGUGUUACUGACUGGUUUGCUCUUCUUCGCAAAGACUGCGUGUGCUCUUCAGUGAGUGUGCGUAGGAUUUACGACGUUUACUUUGAAAAAAUUAGAGUGUUCAAAGCAGGCUAUUGCUUGAAUACAUGAGCAUGGAAUAAUGGAAUAGGACUUUGGUCCCAUUUUGUUGGUUUCUAGGGCCGAAGUAAUGAUUAAGAGGGACAAUUGGGGGCAUCCGUAUUUCGUUGUCAGAGGUGAAAUUCUUGGAUUUACGAAAGACGAACAACUGCGAAAGCACUUGCCAAGAGUGUUUUCAUUAAUCAAGAACGAAAGUUAGAGGAUCGAAGACGAUCAGAUACCGUCCUAGUUCUAACCAUAAACGAUGUCGACUAGGGAUCAGCGGGCGUUAUCGUACGACCCCGUUGGCACCUUACGGGAAACCAAAGUUUCUGGAUUCCGGGGGAAGUAUGGUUGCAAAGCUGAAACUUAAAGGAAUUGACGGAAAGGGCACCACCAGGAGUGGAGCCUGUGGCUCAAUUUGACUC